GUUUGGUUAAGUUAGAAAGGGCGCACGGUGGAUGCCUUGACACUAGGAGUCGAUGAAGGACGGGACUAACGCCGAUAUGCUUCGGGGAGCUGUAAGUAAGCUUUGAUCCGAAGAUUUCCGAAUGGGGAAACCCACCAUACGUAAUGGUAUGGUAUCCUUGCCUGAAUACAUAGGGUAAGGAAGACAGACCCAGGGAACUGAAACAUCUAAGUACCUGGAGGAAGAGAAAGCAAAUGCGAUUUCCUGAGUAGCGGCGAGCGAAACGGAACAUAGCCCAAACCAAGAGGCUUGCCUCUUGGGGUUGUAGGACAUUCUAUACGGAGUUACAAAGGAACGAGGUAGACGAAGCGACCUGGAAAGGUCCGUCGUAGAGGGUAACAACCCCGUAGUCGAAACUUCGUUCUCUCUUGAAUGUAUCCUGAGUACGGCGGAACACGUGAAAUUCCGUCGGAAUCUGGGAGGACCAUCUCCCAAGGCUAAAUACUCCCUAGUGAUCGAUAGUGAACCAGUACCGUGAGGGAAAGGUGAAAAGCACCCCGGAAGGGGAGUGAAAGAGAUCCUGAAACCGUGUGCCUACAA
rnacentral:rRNA from 1 species